GACGAACGCUGGCGGCGUGCUUAACACAUGCAAGUCGAACGGAAAGGCCCUGCUUGCAGGGUACUCGAGUGGCGAACGGGUGAGUAACACGUGGGUGAUCCGCCCUGCACUUCGGGAUAAGCUUGGGAAACUGGGUCUAAUACCGGAUAGGACCCAUCUCCAGUGUGGGGGUUGGAAAGUUUUUUCGGUGUAGGAUGAGCUCGCGGCCUAUCAGCUUGUUGGUGGGGUAAUGGCCUACCAAGGCGGCGACGGGUAGCCGGCCUGAGAGGGUGUACGGCCACAUUGGGACUGAGAUACGGCCCAGACUCCUACGGGAGGCAGCAGUGGGGAAUAUUGGACAAAGGGCGCAAGCCUGAUGCAGCGACGCCGCGUGGGGGAUGAAGGCCUUCGGGUUGUAAACUCCUUUCGCUAGGGACGAAGCUUUGUUGUGACGGUACCUAGAUAAGAAGCACCGGCUAACUACGUG
rnacentral:rRNA from 1 species